rnacentral:rRNA from 1 species
CCUACGGGAGGCAGCAGUGAGGAAUAUUGGUCAAUGGACGCAAGUCUGAACCAGCAAUGCCGCGUGCAGGAAGACGGCUCUAUGAGUUGUAAACUGCUUUUGUACGAGGGUAAACGCCGAUACGCGUAUCUGUCUGAAAGUAUAGUACGAAUAAGGAUCGGGUAACUCCGGGCCAGCAGCCGCGGUAGUACGGAGGAGUCAAGCGUUAUCCGGUUUUAUUGGGGUUAAGGGGUGCGUAGGCGGUCCUUUAAGGCAGCGGUAAAAUUGCGGGGCUCAACCCCGUCGGGCCUUUGAAACUGGCAGACUUGAGUGGGCGAGAAGUACGCGGAAUGCGCGGUGUAGCGGUGAAAUGCAUAGAGAUCGCGCAGAACUCCGAUUGCGAAGGCAGCGUACCGGCGCCAGACUGACGCUGAGGCACGAAAGCGUGGGGAUCGAACAGGAUUAGAUACCCCUGUAGUC